UAAAGCAGUGACAUCUGUAUUUCCACCUGAUCUUGUCAGAUCUUAGAACCUCAGCAAGGCUGGGUGUGGUCAGUACUGGCAUGGGAGACCUCCAAGGAAAUCCAUGCUGCAAGUC
rnacentral:rRNA from 1 species